AACGCGAAGAACCUUACCAGGUCUUGACAUCCCUCUGAAUGUCCUAGAGAUAGGGCCGGCCUUCGGGACAGAGGAGACAGGUGGUGCAUGGUUGUCGUCAGCUCGUGUCGUGAGAUGUUGGGUUAAGUCCCGCAACGAGCGCAACCCUUGAUCUUUGUUGCCAGCACAUAAUGGUGGGCACUCUAAGAUGACUGCCGGUGACAAACCGGAGGAAGGUGGGGAUGACGUCAAAUCAUCAUGCCCCUUAUGACCUGGGCUACACACGUACUACAAUGGUCGGUACAGAGGGCAGCGAGGCCGCGAGGCGGAGCGAAUCUCAGAAAGCCGAUCUCAGUUCGGAUUGCAGGCUGCAACUCGCCUGCAUGAAGCCGGAAUUGCUAGUAAUCGCGGAUCAGCAUGCCGCGGUGAAUACGUUCCCGGGCCUUGUACACACCG
rnacentral:rRNA from 1 species